GUGCAACAGGCGAGAAAACUUCACACUGUGCGAAAGCACGAUUAGGGAAUCCCAAGUGCUUGCACGUAAGUGUAAGCUGUUUCUCUGUUUAAAACGCAGAGAGAGUAAGGGCUGGGUAAGACGGGUGCCAGCCGCCGCGGUAAUACCUGCAGCUCAAGUGGUGACCGUUAUUAUUGGGCCUAAAACGUCCGUAGCCGGUUUAAUAAAUGCCUGGGUAAAUCGUGUAGCUUAACUAUACGAAUUCCGGGUAGACUGUUAAACUCGAGACCGGGAGAAGUUAGAGGUACUCCUGGGGUAGAGGUGAAAUUCUGUAAUCCUAGGGGGACCACCAGUGGCGAAGGCGUCUAACUAGAACGGGUCUGACGGUGAGGGACGAAGCCCUGGGGCGCAAACGGGAUUAGAUACCCGCGUAGU
rnacentral:rRNA from 1 species